CAGCUGUAUAAUACAUCAUAUGUUGCUCAGCUAGGUCAUUAGAGUACAGCAAUACGCCCGUGUGUACCUUUACUAAGUAUAUGACAGCUUUGAAGGGGCACAUUUGAGACACAUCCAUAUAAAUUAGAAUUUUUGUUGCUAGGUCCAUGCCCCACUUUUGAAUUUUUUUUUAGUAGGUUGUGUUUUCCAAUUACUUCACAAA